rnacentral:rRNA from 1 species
GCAAGUCGAGCGAACAGACGAGGAGCUUGCUCCUUUGACGUUAGCGGCGGACGGGUGAGUAACACGUAGGUAACCUACCUAUAAGACUGGGAUAACUUCGGGAAACCGGAGCUAAUACCGGAUAAUAUUUCGAACCGCAUGGUUCGAUAGUGAAAGAUGGCUUUGCUAUCACUUAUAGAUGGACCUGCGCCGUAUUAGCUAGUUGGUAAGGUAACGGCUUACCAAGGCAACGAUACGUAGCCGACCUGAGAGGGUGAUCGGCCACACUGGAACUGAGACACGGUCCAGACUCCUACGGGAGGCAGCAGUAGGGAAUCUUCCGCAAUGGGCGAAAGCCUGACGGAGCAACGCCGCGUGAGUGAUGAAGGUCUUCGGAUCGUAAAACUCUGUUAUUAGGGAAGAACAAACGUGUAAGUAACUGUGCACGUCUUGACGGUACCUAAUCAGAAAGCCACGGCUAACUACGUGCCAGCAGCCGCGGUAAUACGUAGGUGGCAAGCGUUAUCCGGAAUUAUUGGGCGUAAAGCGCGCGUAGGCGGUUUUUUAAGUCUGAUGUG